rnacentral:rRNA from 1 species
UGAGAGGGUGAUCGGCCACAUUGGAACUGAGACACGGUCCAAACUCCUACGGGAGGCAGCAGUGGGGAAUAUUGCACAAUGGGCGAAAGCCUGAUGCAGCAACGCCGCGUGAGUGAUGAAGGCCUUCGGGUCGUAAAACUCUGUCCUCAAGGAAGAUAAUGACGGUACUUGAGGAGGAAGCCCCGGCUAACUACGUGCCAGCAGCCGCGGUAAUACGUAGGGGGCUAGCGUUAUCCGGAUUUACUGGGCGUAAAGGGUGCGUAGGCGGUCUUUCAAGUCAGGAGUGAAAGGCUACGGCUCAACCGUAGUAAGCUCUUGAAACUGGGAGACUUGAGUGCAGGAGAGGAGAGUGGAAUUCCUAGUGUAGCGGUGAAAUGCGUAGAUAUUAGGAGGAACACCAGUUGCGAAGGCGGCUCUCUGGACUGUAACUGACGCUGAGGCACGAAAGCGUGGGGAGCAAACAGGAUUAGAUACCCUGGUAGUCCACGCUGUAAACGAUGAGUAC